rnacentral:SRP_RNA from 1 species
CGGCAAGUCCUACACAACUAGCUCCUGUUGAAUCCUCCAGGUCGGGAACGAAGCAAAGGUAAAUGGUUGUAGCAGUGUGAUGUAGGUAGCUUGCCUUUU